CCUCGCGUCCCCUCCUUUCCCAUUGUCGUCUAGGUUUCUUCCAUCCGCCCGGCCAUGGCUGCUGACUCGACCUCCCCGGCGAGCUAGCCGAGCACGCCGUCUCCGAGGGCACAAGGCCGUCACCAAUUUCACCUCCUCUUAGAUUCAGUCCCUGGCAACUGUAGUUGGGUGUUGUUUACCUAGAAUUGGAUUUGCUCAAUGGGAAUCGGUGGACUAUUGUUUAGUUUGUAGUAGUUGGGUUGCUGAUGUUGCCGUGUCUGAUCGAUCUGAAAUAGCAAUGAUGUGGUGCAGCUUUUGGGAAGCCUCUAUUCUGAACUAGUUACUCGUUUGAUGCAUGUCCCAUGAGUCUGACUGUUCUCUGUUAUACAUAAACCGAGGGCCAUCGUGGGCCACCAGCGGUAUAUAUUUGCAUGUAAACACUGAACAGAUACGAGAAAUAAACGAAAAGAAGCAGGCUCGAUUCGAGCUUGUGUCAAUACACCGGUUUUGUGUGCGCAUGUUUACAAUAGACGAAAAGAAUCAGAUUCAGGAGCUGUGUACGUGUGUUCCUUUAGGCAAGAAUCAAUUAUCUUGAAUUCUUGAUGUUGCUGCUCGUUGCUGCUGCUUGCCGCCGCUGUUCCUCCGCUGCUACAUGCUGCUCAUUGUUGUUGUACAAACAGUGUCAAAUGAGUUGGAUUAUCUGAAUAAAUGAAUCAUCCAGUGGUUGUUUCAAUCGUGUUAUGCUUCAGUUUUAUGACGAUGGCACUUUUUCUUUUUUUUAACUCUUGUGAUGUGCUCGAGCAAUUUUCUUUCCCUGAACCUUCUACAUCUCGCUGAUCAUCCAUGGAUAAGUAAAUUGUUGGCAUAGAUCUUCAUUAUUUCUACAGGGUAAGAUUUUUAUUUCAUCUGAUUUGUUGUAUGGCUCGCAAUGAAACAUUGCCGCUGAAAACAAAAUUCAGUGGAACUGUCGACGUAGGUAUUGAUCCAAUUUCAUCGGCAUGUUGUAGAAAUUCUUUUGAUUAGAUGAUUGGCUGCCAACUAAAGUCAGGAGAUGUACCAGCUAUAGAUUGUUGUACCAAUGGAAAGUUUUUAUUUUAUCAGACUUGUUAAGUUUUUACUGAAUUUUAAUCAGAUUGCUGUAAUAGCUCCUUCUGUUCUUGUUAUGAUCGUGUUUGUGCCGCUUUGUCUUGAUUCGAUCUGUUGCGCAAGCUCGCGUUUCUCUGUAAAUCUCUGCAGACAACGAUUGUGAGCCGGCUGAGAUUUUUCUCUCUUGGACUAUGACUCUCCUUUUAAUGCCAAUCAAUGUUUGCCGAGAUGAACUCCGAGAUUAGCAAAAUGGCAGAGUUGCCUCAACAUAUCUAAGGUAAGUUACCUUGUUCCUAUUAGCAUCUUCUUUUGGUAUUCCCUAUUCCUCAUAUCCUGCUUAUGUCAUAUUUAUUAGUCCUUCCUGUAUAAUGUGUGUGGUUGAUGCUCAAGUGAUUUGGUUUCAGUAGGACUGUUGCCUAAAGUAUUAAUGGUCAUAUCGUAGUUACAGUAAUUGUGGGCAUGUCUCAAAAAUGGUAGCUUGUCCCCCCAAAACCUACAGCAAUAGUAUCAUGGUUCUUAUCUGAAUGAACUAGUUGUAAUUGCAUAUUAGAUUAACUUGUUUGCUGUUGGUGUCCUCUCUGUAUCCUCAAGAUUUUAAUUCUCUAUUUUUUUGUCAAAACUAAAUCUUAAGAUAUGAGGGCCUCAUGGUUUGCAACGGAGAAAGUACUUGACUUAAACAUUUACUUGUAGUAAUUGCACACUUCUUUCUUUGUAUCUAGAGGUAAGUUUUCUUGGACUAAACAAUAGUAAGCAAAUUACUUGUUGUUUCUUUUCUUCAAUUUCUUGUCAUAUAAACAUUUACUGUUUCUGUUACUUGUCAUGUGGCUAGUCAAGUUGUUGGUCUGGUUCUUGUAUUUCUUAAUGUCUUUGAUAGAGAGGUAGUUUUGUUACUCUUGCUUUUUAUUAUGAUGGAUUCUUUGGACCUAUUUGGGGAUAUGAACCAAUUGCAGUUUGUAAGAUCAAGUCUUCUUGAUGGAUGCUAUUGUUCCAUCAAGUCUGGAUGUAAUAGUGAGGUCUUUUUGAUAAUACAUAAUACAUGUAACUUUUUUCAGCUUAUCACUUGCUUGCAAAGCACCCCGUUAAUUUUCCAGAAGAAUAUUAAGUUUAAAUUCCAUAUCUGUUUGACAUGAUUAAUUAAUCUAGUUGUUUCAUGUCUAAGCAUAUUUGCUUGCAGGAUUUCUGCACUUAUUUUUUCCACGUACUUACUAGUAUAUAUUGUUGUUCAGAUAGAUUACUGUAUGAUUGUAUGUAUCACUAUCUGUAGGUGACAUGGAGAGAUUAAUUGUCUCAACUAUUGUAGAUGUCCUUAUCAUGUUGCUUAGUGGCGCCACACGUAUCCAGGCUCUUUGGCAACUAGAGAAGCAAGCUGGACAAACUUUUGGCCAUUCAAAAACUUGAUGAUCAUGACAUCGUAAGAGCAAUUCAUCUAGGACAACAUGACACUCAUCCUUGCUUGCUCUGUAAAAAUAUAAUUGAUUGUGAGCUACGAGAGAUUAUGUUGAUGUUCUUGAUGUGAAGAACUGUUGUCACAUUUUUAUUAGGUGUCAUUCACAAUUUUAUAGCAAGUUUGUCUUGCUAUGAUGCUAUUUAACCUGUAAAUAUUGGAUUUUUAACUGUUUUACACCA